CAGCUGCAGAAUCAUAUUCCAUUGUCAGAUACUCUGAAUACUGCAGUGAAACUGCUCUUGUCUUACUGAAGUUCAGGAGAGCUUUGCCACUGAUUUCUCUGAUGCUAGAAUUUUACCUCUGGUCAAGAGCCUGAAUAUGAAAUGUGCUGAGCUUCCGGGUCCUCUGUAAUGUAAACAAGACCUUGUGCUUCUAGAAGAUGGACACACCAGAGUAGUGGUGAAAUGCUGUGCAAGGGGAACUUUGACGUAACAUAUCAAUCUGAGGAACAAAUCAAAACAAGGUACCAGUUUACAGAAGCAAGGCAUUCUGAGAUCAGUUUGAAAAACCAAGAGCUACUUCCAGAUUGUGAGAGUAAAGUAAAUAAUAAAAGCUUCCAAAAUCAACCGAUCAAGAAAUAAUCAACAGGUUACUCUUUCAAAUGCCCACAGCAGGGCUGACAGCUAUCAUAAGAGGAAGCAAAAAAAGCUGUGCUUCUUCAGGUGGUAACCUCUUCUCCUCAUCCUAAGAUGCAACUUUCCAACAAAUGAAAAGUGUGCACUUGUCAUCCAAACUACUCAAAAUCCUCCAAUUCACCAUUCCUAAAGAAGUCCUUCAAGGCUCACCUGUAAUGCACAUCAGGAAGUGGUGAUCAGCCCACAAGUCUCAAUAUCUGAAUUACUUGCCAGGCAUCAGUGAGUAUCUGCCUACACAAAACUACACAUCUGCAGGAAGGAAGGGGUAAAACCCAUCUUAGAUUGAAAUCAAACACCAGCCCAGCUCACUGUGUGUUACAAGUAAGAAGGCCUAAGUAUAUAUAGCACGCCAAUUAUUGCUUAUGCUUAGCUGUACAUGGCAACUUAGGAGUCAAUCCAUGGUAAAAAUCAGCCUAAAAGUGUUACGAAUUGAUACCACGAAAUGGGUUUCAUUUUGACAGCCUUAGUUCUCCAAAGCAAGAGGGAGGGAAGCAAAGGAUCAUAGGCCUGGAAUGAAUCUCUAAGCACCUUCCGAUCUAUUUGCUCACCUUAUGACUACUUUUAGUAUUUAAGACAGGCUUGGAAAUCUAUGUUAUUUCUCCUUUCUAUAUUGUAUUUGAAAAUUUACAUCCCUUCUCAAUUUGGCACUUUGUCAAAGGUAUAUUUUGGGCUCCUAUCCUCUAAAAAAUAAAAUAAAUUAAAAAAAUAGAAGAACAAAUUGCAUAUCCUAAGCAUUGUUCAAUCCCUCUUGGGGUCAAAAUAGUCUUGCAGAGCAAGCUAUUGCAGAGCAGGCUACGUGGUGUGCCGACUCCAUCUGCCCGGUUGCGCAGCACUGGGCCAGCAGCGUGCUGAGCCGCGGCUCUGUUCCAUGGAGACACUUUCCACGUUUAUUGUUCUUGAUUAGAAAAACAUUCAGAUUUUUUGAACUGACAUUUAAGACUGAAUAAAGUUCCAGUUUGGUUUUAUCAAGGCAAACUUUAAAAUAGAUUGUCUAUUAGCUUUUGUAAUAUAUUUCUUUUAUGAGCCUGAGUGGGAAGAGCAUUAAAAAAAGCCAUAAAUCAGAUGCAUAUUUCUGGUGAGUGCAGGAAAUCAUUUAACCUUUAUGUUUCAUAUAAAUAGGAAUAAAUGCGGAUUUGUUCAUAUUGUCUACAUUUUCUGAAACACCACCAGAGGUGGAAUUUCCAGAAGGAGAAUGAUCAAGAGAAGAAAACAAAAGGAAAAUGAAGCAAAAAACCUCCCCCAAAAUACAGCGAUGCCUAAAGCACUAGUUGCAAACGACCGCCUCCUGCCCAUUUAGGACAGGAGAAGAGAUGAAAAAGUCCUGCAUUUUUACCUUCAUUUGUUUGUUACAGGGUUUAGAGGGGAGAAAUAAAGUAAAAAAUCUACACCACACACCACACUACUGUACUGAGUCUUGAGACAAUUCUCUUAACACCAAUAGCAUGCAAGCGUGUCCAUUGGAAAAUAAUCUGCCCUCAGUGGCUAACUCCCAGCAGAAAGCUUGGCGACAGGCCAACAUGUAAAUAUCCAUUUGUAUAUGCAGGAAAUCAUUUUCAGCAAAACCUGAGCUGGUCAAGCAAGCUGGGAGGUUCUGAGCAGUACACUGUGCAUAUAUUCUUAUUGGAAUGGGUUAAAAGGUGCUCACAGCAGUAUGUUAUGGAUGACACCAGUGAGACUUUAAGCAUGCAACAUAAUGUUAAAGCAAUUAAUAAGGGCAGUUGCUAACAGUUGCACAACGGAGGAGUGUUUUAAAAUUCCUGUGCUCUUUAACAAUGAUGUGGAGAGACACUAUGAGGGGGGGGGAAAAAAAAGCCUGGCAUGGAAGGGACAUUCCUUCAGUUCCUCUCAAAAGUUUGAAAAACCUCUGGAUAGGAAAAUACUAUUGAGCAGCCAAUUUUUUCCACAUUUGGCUAAGCGCAAUGCCCAAAAUACACAGAACACUACUUCACUUUGAAAGGAUUGCAAUACUCCUAUCUGAGUCAUCUGAAAGCAAAUAAAAUGAGACCUAAACAAAUAAACCUAAUUGUGCGUGGAAACAAAUCCAGCUUGCCAGCUUGGCCAUGGCUUUGUUUUUGUUAGUUUAAAGCCUGCAUAUGCAGUUUUAGUGGCAUCA